CAAUAGCGUAUAUUAAAGUUGUUGCAGUUAGAACGCUCGUAGUCGGAUUUCGGGGCGGGCCGACCGGUCUGCCGAUGGGUAUGCACUGGUCGGCGCGUCCUUCCUUCCGGAGACCGUCCCUACUCUUAACUGAGCGGGGGCGGGAGACGGGACUUUUACUUUGAAAAAAUCAGAGUGUUUCAAGCAGGCAGCUCGCUCUUGCAUGGAUUAGCAUGGGAUAAUGAAAUAGGACUUUGGUGCUAUUUUGUUGGUUUCGAACACCGAAGUAAUGAUGAGAAGGGACAGUCAGGGGCACUCGUAUUCCGCCGAGAGAGGUGAAAUUCUCAGACCAGCGGAAGACGAACCACUGCGAAAGCAUUUGCCAGGGAUGUUUNCACUGA
rnacentral:rRNA from 1 species